rnacentral:rRNA from 1 species
GAUGAACGCUGGCGGCGUGCCUAAUACAUGCAAGUCGAGCGAACAGAUGAGGAGCUUGCUCCUCUGACGUUAGCGGCAGACGGGUGAGUAACACGUGGAUAACCUACCUAUAAGACUGGGAUAACUUCGGGAAACCGGAGCUAAUACCGGAUAAUAUAUUGAACCGCAUGGUUCAAUAGUGAAAGACGGUUUUGCUGUCACUUAUAGAUGGAUCCGCGCCGCAUUAGCUAGUUGGUAAGGUAACGGCUUACCAAGGCAACGAUGCGUAGCCGACCUGAGAGGGUGAUCGGCCACACUGGAACUGAGACACGGUCCAGACUCCUACGGGAGGCAGCAGUAGGGAAUCUUCCGCAAAGGGCGAAAGCCUGACGGAGCAACGCCGCGUGAGUGAUGAAGGUCUUCGGAUCGUAAAACUCUGUUAUUAGGGAAGAACAAAUGUGUAAGUAACUAUGCACGUCUUGACGGUACCUAAUCAGAAAGCCACGGCUAACUACGUG